AGCUAGAAGGGAUCACCUUAGAGGCCAUCUAAUCCAAUCCUCUUAUUUUCUAGAUGAGGGAGAGGAUCUGUAGACAUCAGAAACGGAUUUCUAUUCCAGAGACUCUUUGAGAAGAAAGAGAACUAAAAAAUAAAGAAUUAAUAGCUAAGAAGACAACUCCUCUUUUGAAUAUCUUGAAAGAAGCAGAUUGAGAGAAGAAAGGAGAGAAGAAUGACUAAGGAGAGAGAUUGAAAGAUAAAGCUAAAGAAAUGAAGAAAGAAGAAAUGGAGAUAAGAAGAGAAGAAAAGAGAGGCCAUGCAUCUUGCUGAAGGUCACAGGCAUGAUAGGACCCUCAGAGACAGUCUCAGAGCCCUGUACCAUAUGGGAAAGAGAAUGAGCACUGGCAUCUGAGGAGGUGAUGGUGGCAGGACAGCUCCUUAUUCAAGAUCCAGGGUUCCUAGGUUGUGUCCUUUACUAAAUCUAACAAUAAGUAGGACUUAUGUUGGAAAACAAUGAGAAUGAGAGAGCUUUCAAUCAUCUUUUUUAAUCAUCACCUUUUCUCCCAUCCAUGUCCCUUUUGCCAUCUUGGCCACUCCUUUGGGAUCCAAAGGGAAAAGGAGAAGAAGAAACUAGAGAAAGAAGAAAGAGAAACUGAAGCUCAUAGAUGACUUGUCUGGGUGACGUGCCUAGUAAAUGACCGAGGUAGAAUUCACACCCAGGUCUUUCUGAUUCCAGAUAUAGAUCUCUAUCUUUCUGGCCACUCACCAAUCAAAUGAAAUAUAUUGGAAGAGAGAUGAAGAGAAGGACUGAACAAUAAGGAAUUUUGAAUUCUCUAGCUAUUUCUAGUAUGAUGCCCCAUGGGGCUAAUUUCCCUAGAACACUUCAAGGAUUCCCAUGGAAAAAUGGAUUUGGGGCAGGAGAAUCACAAAAUCAUAUACUUAAGAAUUGGAAGAGAGGCCAGCAUCCAGCUAAUCUAACUAUAGCAUAUCCAUGAUCACAUCCUAAGUAAGAGACUAUCCAGCCUCCAUUUGAAGACGUCCAAUGGGGAU
rnacentral:lncRNA from 1 species